CAGGUCUUAGAGUCGGGGUCAGCCUUGCGCACUGGCUGGGCCAUCAGACCUUUGGCAAGAGCUGGGCUUUGAAGGUGGAUUCAGAAGCCUUGGGCUGGGCCUUUCCGUGUGGGAAGUGCAGUUAUGCCUUUGUUAAGGUGAAAAUUUUUUGAGGCCUCCAUUUCUUUGUGCAUAGGCUUUGCCGUUCGGCAAGGCCAGUCCGUGUUUUAAUGUGACCAACUUGAUGUGUGCCUUGGUUGUUUUGACUUUGAGCAGGGUCUAAAAAUAGAAGGCUGGGCGCUGGGCUUCUACAUUGGAGCUGGGCUCGUGGCUUGGAGCUCGGGUCCUUGGCCUUCAGUACGGGGUUUGGCACGGGCCUGGGCAUAAGUCUGCCAUUCGAGGCCUUCUUGGAGUUGUGCUUGCUUAGGCAAGUUGAGAAUUUGGUGAGUCCCCCCCUUUCCCUUCUGCACGAUCCUUGCCAUUCGGCAAGGGUGAUUUGAACAUUUGAUUUGAUGUUUGACGUUUGUUGUUGUAGUCUUGUAAAUCUUUCGGUAGGUGGCUACUUGGAGCCGGGUUUGGAACUUUGGACAUGCGGCUGGGCUAUUCGGUUUCUGAUAGCCUUGGUGAGCUUUAUUUGCCCUUCAUUUCCCUUCUGCACUAGUCUUGCCGUUCGACAAGGUCCUUUCAACUUCCUUUUUCCGUUUUUUUUUUUGGAUUUCAAAUUGUUGUAGGUAUAAGAGAUUUGAGAGGGAAGGUGAAAGGGUGCUAGGGUUUUCUCGUGAACCGAGGCAUUGGUACCCUUGAGGCUUUAUAAAUAGAAGCUUGGGGUAACAAAGGCAUCAGACUUGGAGAUUUUGAGAAAAAAUUUCAGAAAGUGAGAAGGAGAAAAGGAGAUUUCUGGCGAAAUACCUCGUGGUAGUGCUGUGGCCAAGGUGAUUCUCGGCGUCCUUUCGUUUUGGUGCAAACAAGGUUAGACCUCAUUUCCUUUGAAUUUUUGAAUUGAAAUGUCUUUUUU
rnacentral:lncRNA from 1 species